GACGAACCGUCCUAACGUUGUUCGGAAUCACUGGGCUUAAAGGGCGCGUAGGCGGCCUUGAAAGUCGGGGGUGAAAUCCCACGGCCUAACCGUGGAAGUGCCUCCGAUACUGCAAGGCUCGAGGGAGGUAGGGGCAGCGGGAACUUCCGGUGGAGCGGUGAAAUGCGUUGAUAUCGGAAGGAACGCCGGUGGCGAAAGCGCGCUGCUGGACCUCUGCUGACGCUGAGGCGCGAAAGCCAGGGGAGCAAACGGGG
rnacentral:rRNA from 1 species